GGGUAAGAUGUGAAAUUGCACAAUAUAAGCAUUUGACACUUAUCCUAUAUUAGUAGUGAUACCAGUGGAAAUUCUUCAGUGAUCAUUUUAAGCUACAACUUUAGGCAUAGUCAAUCACAGAUGUAAAAUACAAAUGGAGGAGUAGGCCUUUCAUGCCAUAGGAUCAAUUUAAUCACCCUAUCGGCUCACACUUAUUCAAAUGUCCCGAGAAAAAUAAGUUCUGGGAAAAGGUUGUGUUACCGGGCUAUUUUUGUCAGUAAACAGCUACAUUGACAACGAACACUGCGAGUUAUUGCAAUGGAGAAGAUGAGGCAGCAAAUUCCAAGUUCUGCUCCCGCUUAUCCUUGUGCAGAGCCAUGACAUAACCUUUGCGUUGUACCAAUUACAUUUACGCUAUAAUCAAGUCCAUGCAAAGUUGCAAAAUUUGUCUAUGUCCUUCAGAAGGACCGGCACCAUAGACGAUUUCACUGUUGAGGGACAGAGGCCAAGCCUUGCGGAUGAACUUGCUACUUCACGUGUAAUGAGAAGAGAUUUAAAGAGCUGCUUUCCAGGUUGAAGCUGCAUACAUGAUACGACCUUUCCAUCCCUGCAGUAGCCAAUGACCGUCUACAUCAAUCACAAAAUCCUUGUGGUACGCCUUUACACGAUCUUUUGCCAUCCUCAAAAUCUCCUCGUUCAAAGGAAGCUGCCUAAAACCAGCCCUUGAAUUUCUGACCUGCCAUUGUUUAUAUGUUUCUGGUCUCUCAAUCCUCUCAGCAGCUUCACACGCUACAACAUUCAUUGCCUCCCUGCCAAAUAUUAACUUUUCAACCAGCAAUCUCUCAGGAAUUUCACGGGGAAUAUUAGCUUCAAGCAUAUCAAACACGGACGAGUAAUGAAAAAGUGCCUCCCGGAAUCGUGUGAUAAAGAAGGGAGCAUUAUAAGCACCGUUUACGAUCCCCUGUAUGUAAACAUCAGGAUUUAACUUCCGGAUGAGAUUCAAUACAAUAUCUCUAGGACUAUUUACCACCACAGUCUCAUCGAGUAGAUUCCUGAACCGAUACAUGCAGUUCACUGCAAGAACCUCAUCCUUCUGGAUCUUAAGAUCCUCAACUUUAAUUGUCUCCCACUUCUGUGCUAUAGCUAUGAACUCAAAUGGAACAUUGAAACUCUCAGCAUAAUCAGCUAACCUCCUCCCCGUUUCCUCAACCCUCUCUGCUGGCCGGAAACCAGGAUUAGGAAAGUCUAUCCCAGUUAUCCGGAGCUUGGGAGGUCCACCUGGUCUACUGGAGAGACGUUGUAUGAAGCAGGGCCACUGGAAG
rnacentral:misc_RNA from 1 species